GCCGGAGUGGCGGAAUGGCAGACGCAGGGGACUUAAAAUCCUCUGCCCGCGAGGGCGUGCGGGUUCGAGUCCCGCCUCCGGCACCA
rnacentral:tRNA from 1 species